GACGAACGCUGGCGGUGUGCUUAACACAUGCAAGUCGAACGGUAAGGCCCUUUCGGGGGUACACGAGUGGCGAACGGGUGAGUAACACGUGAGUAACCUGCCCUCAUCUCUGGGAUAACAGUCGGAAACGGUUGCUAAUACUGGAUAUGAGCUUGCAAGGCAUCUUGUGGGUUGGAAAGAUUUUUUUGGUUGGGGAUGGACUCGCGGCCUAUCAGCUUGUUGGUGAGGUAGUGGCUCACCAAGGCUUCGACGGGUAGCCGGCCUGAGAGGGCGACCGGCCACAUUGGGACUGAGAUACGGCCCAAACGCCUACGGGAGGCAGCAGUGGGGAAUAUUGCACAAUGGACGGAAGUCUGAUGCAGCAACGCCGCGGGCGGGAGGACGGCCUUCGGGUUGUAAACCGCUUUCAAUUGUGACGAAGCUUUUUGUGACGGUAGCAGUAGAAGAAGCACCGGCUAACUACGUG
rnacentral:rRNA from 1 species